GACGAACGCUGGCGGCGUGCUUAACACAUGCAAGUCGAACGGAAAGGCCCUGCUUUUGUGGGGUGCUCGAGUGGCGAACGGGUGAGUAACACGUGAGUAACCUGCCCUUGACUUUGGGAUAACUUCAGGAAACUGGGGCUAAUACCGGAUAGGAGCUCCUGCUGCAUGGUGGGGGUUGGAAAGUUUCGGCGGUUGGGGAUGGACUCGCGGCUUAUCAGCUUGUUGGUGGGGUAGUGGCUUACCAAGGCUUGACGGGUAGCCGGCCUGAGAGGGUGACCGGCCACAUUGGGACUGAGAUACGGCCCAGACUCCUACGGGAGGCAGCAGUGGGGAAUAUUGCACAAUGGGCGGAAGCCUGAUGCAGCAACGCCGCGUGCGGGAUGACGGCCUUCGGGUUGUAAACCGCUUUCGCCUGUGACGAAGCGUGAGUGACAGUAAUGGGUAAAGAAGCACCGGCUAACUACGUG
rnacentral:rRNA from 1 species